AUUGAACGCUGGCGGCAGGCCUAACACAUGCAAGUCGAGCGGAUGAGAGGGGCUUGCUUCUCGAUUCAGCGGCGGACGGGUGAGUAAUGCCUAGGAAUCUGCCUGGUAGUGGGGGACAACGUUUCGAAAGGAACGCUAAUACCGCAUACGUCCUACGGGAGAAAGCAGGGGACCUUCGGGCCUUGCGCUAUCAGAUGAGCCUAGGUCGGAUUAGCUAGUUGGUGAGGUAAUGGCUCACCAAGGCGACGAUCCGUAACUGGUCUGAGAGGAUGAUCAGUCCCAGUGGAACUGAGACACGGUCCAGACUCCUACGGGAGGCAGCAGUGGGGAAUAUUGGACAAUGGGCGAAAGCCUGAUCCAGCCAUGCCGCGUGUGUGAAGAAGGUCUUCGGAUUGUAAAGCACUUUAAGUUGGGAGGAAGGGUUGUAGAUUAAUACUCUGCAAUUUUGACGUUACCGACAGAAUAAGCACCGGCUAACUCUGUGCCAGCCGCCGCUGUAAUAC
rnacentral:rRNA from 1 species